rnacentral:rRNA from 1 species
GGAAAGUUGAAAAGCACUCUGAAGAGAGAGUCAAAAGACCGUGAAACCGCUCAGAGUAUAAGCCAAUGGAGCUUGGAAGGCUUCCGCAGUCUCGGCAUCAUGCGUGGUGUUCGUAAGAUCAGGAGUGUGGCUCGUCAGGCGGAGCAUUGAGUUUGCCAACUUAGCUGUCGUGCGGGGGUUCGGCUUUGGGGGCUCUAGGCUUCGGCCGAACAGCUUCCGGCUGUCCCCUUUUGAAUGGACGUUCAGAGCUUCUGAUCUAAUGCGGUUAUGCCCACCACGGCACGUUGUGAGGUCACCCACAGGCUCAAACUGCCGAUCGCGCAUCCAGGACGAUGGCAACGAUGCGUUGUUACGCUCGCGAGUCGAGAUAUCACGCGUGUCUAGUCCUGGGUCGGGCGGCGACCGAGAUAAACCUGGUAUGAUCCUCUUGCGACGAGCCGCUUUCUGGCCAGACCGACGCCCAGGCGCUUCCACUGUGCCGGAAGUGUCAAUCCCAGGCGGUGUGAACCCAGCUGCAUUUUGCAAGGUCUCUCAGCCGGGCGUUGGUCUGAGUGGUGUUAAGUCCAGCACCGUCGGUCACGUCUCGAAACACGGGCCAAGGAGUAUAGCAUGUGUGCAAGUCUAAGGGUCUCACAAAACCCGAAGGCGAAGUGAAAGCAAGACUGUGGCGGGGGAGCUACGGCGAUCCUGCCAGCCUUGUGGCGCGUUCUCGUGUCGCCUGGCUUUAAGCAGAGCUGAUCCUGUUUUCUCGGUUUAUUCUUGGUGCAGGCGCAAGCUCCGGGCUCACGUACAACUCUGGUCACGCCUCGUGUGUGGCUGUGUUGUGAGCACCGUGGAGCAUGCAUGCUAUGACCCGAA